rnacentral:ncRNA from 1 species
UUUGGUAGAGGUCGCGGGAUCCAUCAGUAUUCCCUCCACACGGCGCGGGGCGCCGGGGGGAAGAAAGGGGCCCCCGCCGAAGUAGGACCGUCCCCCCGAGGGCGCUCCCGCUGGGACGCAGCAGAAUAUGCUGCGGACUGUCACAGAUAUUGUGGAGAGCUAUCAU